ensembl:lncRNA
AUUAGGAUGGUUCUGAAAAUUCAGAUUGGUCAAGUGAUAGCUCAGACUGUCUGUUCAGGUGUAGCAUUCUUUUACAUCCUUACUUUGUGUAGCAAAGCAGAACAAAGAGAGCAAUUAGAAGGUGUGUAAGUGUCCUUCCUAGGCAGCAGAACAAGCUAAGCUCUCAAUAGUAAUGCCAGGUGUAUGAGAAGUUUAUAAGCUUUGGGAGUAAGUUUUAAAAAAUAAUUUGAAAUAUGUUUUAAUGUGGAAUCUCUAUGUAUAGGUAGAGUAGUUACAAGCCACAGCUGUUGGUGAAGUGGAGUUUUCUCAAGAAAAUAACUCGUUUCACUUUUACUGGAAGAAAACCGUAAUGACUUUCAGCAAGCCACUGUCCAUCUCAGGAUGGGACUGGGACUGGAGCAGGGAAUGGAAGAAAAGUUAUGCCCAAAUUAUCCAUUCCUGAAAAGGAGGCAAGAUUUUAGCUGAAAUGAGCAAGUACGAUAGACCUGGAGAAUUCUGUGUGGCCAAGUGCUGUGACUCGUCUUAGAAGAUGUGAUGCUAUUUUUCCUAGAAACCCUUGUAGCAGAAAGAAGCUGUGAGGAGAACAAGCCUUGAAGGAUCAGAACCUCAGAAGGCCAUAGAGAAAGAGACAAACUGAUUACGGUAAUUGCUUAACUCUCAUGUAUUUUUUUUCAAUGAACAUUCUCAUGAGCUCUGUAGUAGCAGUAGGCACAAUCAAUGGCUUUGUAAAUAUAUAAGCAUGUAAAUAUCCAUGUCUUUUCUGUAGGUGAACAUGGUAUUCACAGUGUAUUUGCUUCAUUUCCAAGUAGCGCAUCUAUGCCGUUGGAUGAUGAUGGCAUUGAUACGGAUGAUGCUGAGAUGCUCUGACUGCUAUUUGGCAGAAUUCUGGGUGGCUGGUUACUCACUGAGAAGCUUCUGGACAAGCAUUGGAAACAAAGGGCAUCAAGGAGCAAUAACUUCCAUGUCAGAUUUUUCUUUUCAUCUUACCAAGUAACAUCCCAAAACUUUGCAGACUGCGUAGUUGCACUGAGAAUUCACAAUCACUACAGAGAGUUGUGCUGGCCUGUGUGUAAACUUGUCCCCAGUGUUACUAUCCAUAUGAUACCAUUUUGAUUCAUGCCAUGGCAUUGCUUGUGUGUUCCUUGAACACUCCACCCGCUGCAGCACAUGGCAGAAACCAUAAUGGCCUUCAAUCCAAGUUUUGGCCCCAGGAGCCACGUGCUGGCAACAGCUAAUAUCUCA